CCUACGGGAGGCAGCAGUGAGGAAUAUUGGUCAAUGGGCUUACGCCUGAACCAGCCAAGUCGCGUGAGGGAAGACUGCCCUAUGGGUUGUAAACCUCUUUUGUCAGGGAGCAACGCCGGCUACGUGUAGCCGGACUGAGAGUACCUGAAGAAAAAGCAUCGGCUAACUCCGGGCCAGCAGCCGCGGUAAUACGGAGGAUGCGAGCGUUAUCCGGAUUUAUGGGGUUUAAAGGGUGCGCAGGCGGAAUGUCAAGUCAGCGGUAAAAUUUCGGGGCUCAACCCUGUCGUGCCGUUGAAACUGGCGUUCUUGAGUGAGCGAGAAGUAUGCGGAAUGCGUGGUGUAGCGGUGAAAUGCAUAGAUAUCACGCAGAACUCCGAUUGCGAAGGCAGCAUACCGGCGCUCAACUGACGCUCAUGCACGAAAGCGUGGGUAUCGAACAGGAUUAGAUACCCCAGUAGUC
rnacentral:rRNA from 1 species